rnacentral:rRNA from 1 species
GUAUGGGGAGCUGCCCGAUAGAGGGGGAUAACUACUGGAAACGGUGGCUAAUACCGCAUAAUGUCUACGGACCAAAGCAGGGGCUCUUCGGACCUUGCACUAUCGGAUGAACCCAUAUGGGAUUAGCUAGUAGGUGGGGUAAAGGCUCACCUAGGCGACGAUCUCUAGCUGGUCUGAGAGGAUGAUCAGCCACACUGGGACUGAGACACGGCCCAG